rnacentral:rRNA from 1 species
AUGCAAGGAUUGAUGAAAUUCGUGCCUUGUUGGUCAACCGCUCUUCUACAUCUUCGUCCUAUUCAAGACAGAGCCACUCAAGUCGACAUUCUUCGCAAUCUUCCUUGGAUGCAAGUUGUCCUAAGGCUCGUUCGCAUCAUCGUCAAGACCAUGAAGUUCAUCAAGCUCCACAAAACCCUUUCCAAGGCAAUGGUUUACAAGGCCGUCUCCGUGAACGUGAACGCCUCCGGCAACAAGCUAAUGAACCUCCGAUCCAAGAGCAAGCUCCAAUACGCCAAGAUCGACAAGAACAACAAGAUGUUGAUGCCCUUCGACAAGAGAAAUAACGUCGUGAGGAACAAGCACUUGAAGCCCAACAAGCUCUACGCGAAUCAACUCAAGCCGUCAAUGCGCGUAACCGCCAAGUACAUCUACAAGAAGAGGCCAUCCGUCGUGAGCGCCAAGAAGAAGCUGCACGUCUUGAGGAACUUCAAGAAAUGA